rnacentral:rRNA from 1 species
UACGUAGGGUGCAGGCGUUAAUCGGAAUUACUGGGCGUAAAGGGUUCGUAGGUGGCCAACUAAGUCAUACGUGAAAUCCCUCAGCUUAACUGGGGAACUGCGUCUGAUACUGGUUGGCUUGAGUGCAGGAGAGGAACGCGGAAUUCCAGGUGUAGCGGUGAAAUGCGUAGAUAUCUGGAGGAACACCGGUGGCGAAGGCGGCGUUCUGGACUGCAACUGACACUGAGGAACGAAAGCCAGGGGAGCAAACGGG